CUCAACAUGAGAGUUUGAUCCUGGCUCAGAACGAACGCUGGCGGCAGGCUUAACACAUGCAAGUCGAGCGCCCCGCAAGGGGAGCGGCAGACGGGUGAGUAACGCGUGGGA
rnacentral:rRNA from 1 species